GUGUGGAAGUCCAGAAUUAAGGUAGUCGAUCUACGAUUAGUAUUAUUCUCGUAUUACCCAUUCUUAGAUGUUGUUGCUACCUGUUGUUUAUUUUGUUUCGGUUAACUUAUUUUGCCAGCUGCUAUUAUUGUUUCUCUUUCUUAAGGUUCUCCACUUUCAUAUUUCUUUGUUGUCUUGUGCGAUCCUACUUUCUUUGAGCCGAAAGUCUAUCG
rnacentral:lncRNA from 1 species